GAUGAACGCUAGCGGCAGGCCUAACACAUGCAAGUCGAGCGGUAGAGGUUGCUUGCAACCUUGAGACCGGCGCACGGGUGCGUAACGCGUAUGCAAUCGGCCUUGUACUGAGGGAUAGCCCAGAGAAAUUUGGAUUAAUACCUUAUAGUAUCUUUUCUCGGCAUCGGGAGAUUAUUAAAGUUCCAACGGUACAAGAUGAGCAUGCGUCCUAUUAGCUAGUUGGUAUGGUAACGGCAUACCAAGGCAAUGAUGGGUAGGGGUCCUGAGAGGGAGAUCGCCCACACUGGUACUGAGACACGGACCAGACGACGACGGGAGGCAGCAGUGAGGAAUAUUGGUCAAUGGGCGCAAGGCUGAACCAGCCAUGCCGCGUGCAGGAUGAAGCAUCUAUGGUGUGUAAACUACUUUUAGACGGGAAGAAACACCGGUUCGUGAACCGGCUUGACGGUACCGUAAGAAUAAGGAUCGGCUAACUCCGUGCCAGCCGCCGCUGUAA
rnacentral:rRNA from 1 species